rnacentral:rRNA from 1 species
AACUUUGAGCGGUGGAUCACUCUGCUCGUGUGUCGAUGAAGAGUGCAGCCAACUGUGUGAAUUAAUGUGAACUGCAUACUGCUUUGAACAUCGACAUCUUGAACGCAUAUUGCGGCUACGGGAUAUCCUGUGGCCACGCCUGUCCGAGAGUCA